rnacentral:lncRNA from 1 species
CCCAAUCUAAUCCAGAAAACCCGUUUGUUUCCCGAGAAAGUUGCAGCCCCUCGGAACAGGGAUCGCAAUCCAGAUCUAAACUUGGAGUGAUUGGAUCUUGUCACGUAAGGAGAAUUGGGAAUGGGGAUUAGGGUUGUGGUGGUUGAAUUUGUGGCGGGUUUUUGGAUUGGGUGGAUAAUUUAUUGAAAAAGAAAGGAGCUUUAUCUGUCGUCUGUUCCUAGCCAAAAAAAAUUAUCAACACGGGUAAGGCUGUUUGUAGACAUAAAAUUUUAAAAUGUGCAGGGCCAAACUCUAUUUAAAAUGCGCUAAUACAUGUGUUAAUUUUGUGUGUACAUUAUAUUGAUUCGUAUGGAACAAUACUUAAAUGUUUUUAAACGAAACCAUCGCAUCUUACUGCAUAAAGAAUCUUUGCACAACAUUGAGCCAAUUUCAUAGUAAGCACUCCUUUGGAACUUGGAAGUGUUUUUAAAUUGACUGAAAUAGCUUUUGGAGUAAAUGUUUUGGGAUUCCAAAAGCACUUGCAAUGCUUUUCCAGGAUUCACUUGCAUUUUACUAGGGAUUGAUUCUGAAAACAUUUUCAUCAAAAGCCUUUUUAGAACCAAUCCUUAGUAAAAUGAAAGUGAAUCCUGGAAAAGCACUUUAAGGAUUGGUUCUGAAAACAUUUUCGCCAAAAACGUUUUCAGCUAUUUUAAAAGCAUUUUCAAACGAGACCAAAGACAAUGAGGUAGCAAGCAACACAAAAUCAUUCCCUUCAUACGCAUACAUUACGUACAAAUCCAGUAAAAUGAACAUUAUAAUUUACAAGUGGCAUGAAAAUACAGACCAGCUGAGCAUUCCAUAAUACUCUACUUUUAUUCAUUGUGUUGUUACAUCCAUCAGCUUAUUGUGCUGCAGUUCAGUUCAACUUGUAUUGAAUCUGAACCGCUUUUUGGUUCAAUACAUGUACCUUGCUAGCUAGCUAGUUUCUAUUCUCCGCUAAUCGUAUUCCGCCAACUUUCUAACGUGACAAUGCGUGAUUGACUUGAAAUAUCGUGCCACCUAGUUUGACAACCUUUGUUCCUCAUCGUCCUUAAUGAGGAUGUGAUCAUCGUUGUCAGCAACCCCAACCUCCCAACCAAACUGAAAGGUGACAUCUAGGAAGUAGAGCAUGAUGACCAAAACAAAGCAGGACACGAACAUCGGAAUUGGCCCGAAAAUCCAUAGAAACAAAGGGAACGAGAAGUAGAACGCCCGGAGUCCCAAGGACCAGAAAUAGCUGCCUCGGUUCACGGUUGUGGCAACGUAGUCUGUAGUGAGGUAGUGGUGCUGAUGGUGGGGCGACAUCUUCUUGCACGGUGCGUUGAUGAGAAUGCUGGCGUGGCUGUAGUACCUUAUGGACUGCACAUUGAAGAGGAAAGCCACCAGGAAACACACCAAAAUGGCGAAGAACUUGAUCGAAAAUGCAAGCUCGCUUCGGUCCCCAAAGACAAAUAAAGCUGCUCUGUAUUUGGUGCCGCUGGUCAUCAAGAGGGCAAUGAGAGAGCAGAGCGUAAUGGCGGUCGAGGCCAAAAGGGUCGACGCCAUUAUGUUGUUUCUCAAUGUUUGCACUGCAAGAACACCAUGCUUUGGAGCUUCCUGCAUUUCGUGCAUGCCCAAAUGCAAAUUGGUCAUUAGAGAACAUCAUUUUUCAAUCGUAUAUGCACUGUUUUUAUCCAUUAAUUUUCUUUUACCGUAUUCAAUUCAAAAGUCAAAAACUAAAUAUGGGGAUGCAUGAAGGGAAAAAGCUUGCACGAAAAUCACUUUCAUUGUAAAAAAAUGUACGUUGUCAUGCUACAUGUGAUUAUAUGAAUAGGAAUCAAUUAAGGCGAUACUAUAAACCAUUCUAAUUUACAGGAAAAAAAAAUCGAACUUGAAUUGACCAACUGGUUAAAAACCUUUCUUUCAACAUUUUCAAGAUUACUGGUGCACAAGAAAACAUUUUCCAACAACAUAAUAUAAAUAGGAACCAAUUAAGAAGACAAAAAAAAAUUGAAAGAUAUGAUUUUGAUUGAUGGGUUUUGUUGGGUUUUGGUUUUACCUCCAUCAUUGCGUGAACCCAGAAGCGGCGGUUGAUGGAAUUGAUUCCGAUGACGGUGCUGUUGGGCUGCGCCAGGAUUCGAUAGAGAAGCCAUAGGUGGUAUGCCACCAUUACCAGCAGCCCUGCCGGCACCAAAACGUAAUCCAAAACUCUUUGCUGCAUUUCUUCUUCUUCUUCUGAGAUCUUUUGCUUCUGAAAUUGUUCAAGGGAGGAGAGAGCGAGAGUCCAAAUGUAGCACGGGUGUGGGUUUCUGUUGUGUUGAGCUGUGUUUGUGUGAGGGGAGUGGACUCUCUGGUUUUUUGGUAUGAAAAGGAGAAAAACGAGGCGGGUUUUUAUGGCAAACAUGUGGGUCUCGAACGGGCGGAAGUUCUUGCGUAGGAGAAGUCCAUGCCAAGAAUCCCUUUGCAUGUACUUUUGGCGCACGCGUGACGUGAUAUCGGUUUCUCUAUUCAAGAUAUCUCCUCACUUCAGCACUUUAUCAUUACUAUUAUAAUUUAGCGUUAUUUCUCUUCUAUUCACUUACUUCUUUUUAUCUCAUACUCUCUUAUUAAUUUUUAUUCACCGAUCUUCAAUUUGUUUGAUCCAACGGCCGAAAAUUAAGAAUGAUGUGUGAGAGGUAGAAAUGAGUGUGGACAACUCCAUCUUUUCUUUUGACUUAUAGAUUUAGUACUUAAUCCCAACAUAGGAAUUUUAAUGAACUUUUUUUCGUUUUCAGCAAUUCAUGAAAGAAUGAAUCAAGAAAAAACGUAUGAAUAUACCGGCUACAAGAAAAUACCUCAUGAUAGUCAAUAUGAGCCCCCACCACCCAUCAAUGCAUGGUGUUUUUAGACUCAACAUAGAAUAUCCUUAUAUCAUAUAGGAGGUGUUACGCAUAACAUAAAAUGAGGCUUAAAAUGUGAUUUAGACGUGAAAAUAAGAACAGUGUCACACGAUAUUGCGAUUCCAUCCAAAUUAGCAUAUUUUUUUAUUAUUAAUAUUCUUUAAAGGUAACGAGACAUAUAAACCAUGUUGCGUAUGGUUAAUUCCUAAAAAAAAAAAUCACUAUGAAACACAAUCAAGUGCAAAUUUAUCAAGUUCGAGGAUUUCUAACAACCCCACUACUAGGCUCACCAAACAUGAGUGAAAAAUGAGUGCUAUUUUCCAAUUAGUCUUUGAUUUUAAUUUUUUUUAUCACCCUUGCUUAAGCAAGUGCAAAACAAAUUGCCUUCCGGCUUUUUGCUGGCCACAUUGAUUCAAUUACCCGACAACGUCAAUGGAUUAAUGGGAAACAGCACAGUCGUCGUCAUUAUUAAAAGGCACUAUCUAAUAGUAUUGUCCAUUAUCCUCUCUUCUCACCUGGAUUUCUAUUGACAAACAUGUCGACAGAUGUACAACCAUGUAAAGACUCGUUUGAAAGUACUUUUAAAAUGAUUAAAAGCGAUUUUGGUAAAAUUGAUUUUGGGUUCUAAAAGGAAAAAAAACACUAGAAAUGUACUUAUUGCAGAAAACACUUCAAAUGCUUUUUCAUGAACCACUUGGAUUCUUACUAAAGAAUGGUUUUAAAAACAUUUUCAUUAAAAACAUUUUCAGUCAUUUUAAAGACACUUUCCAAACAAACCCUUAUUAAAACUUCAACAUAGUUAAUAAUAUAAUUAAAAUCUCAAUAAUCUACAGCAUGUCGAUAUGCGUAUUGAUAUUAGAUAGUCAAACAUGCGACAUCAUCACACCUUGACCCAAGAUUCUUUUCCUCCCUUCGCACGAACAUUCACGAAUGAUGAAUCCUUUGAACAUGUGGUAUCUAUAAGUUAGGAACAGAUCAUUUUCCAGCUCCAAAAACCUGCCCCAGUGAAAAUAAUGAGAAUUUACUGCUCUAUUUUUUAAUCGUCCUUGCAAAGCAGCAGUCAAUCAGGACUAACCCACUUUGAGUUCGAGCCUAUUGGUUUGAACAAAUUAAGCUCAUGUCAUAUAUAUACAUACGAAAAUUCCACUAUGCUCCUGAUAUCUUAUAUACCAGAAUUUAUAAAUGUUAAGAUCUUGAUCAUUGCAUCAUUAACCAAGGAUACCACGGCCAAAAAUCUCAGUGCAUAGCAUACUCGGAGCAUACCCAAAAAUGCCAUACACGAGCACUCGAAAAUCUCAAGAUUCGGGCAGGGCCAACUGCCCAAGUGUGGGUAUAUCUUCCCCCAACCCCCCCCCCCUCUCUUUUAUCUCUCGUCACCUAACAAUAUAUCUUUGGUUGUAUGCUAGAAUCUAAGCCCAAUUAGGACCUAACUUUGUGUCAUUUACCACUAAAGCACGCAGUUAAAUGUGGCAAAUCACAUGGCUGAUGUGAUACAAUUUAACUAUCUUUUGUGGCGGGUCCCGAUGACACCGUUGAUGCUUGGGAAAGAAAGCCCUAAGGUAUCAAAAUGGAAUUUGCACAGAGAUACCUUAAACAUGAAACAGUAAUUACUUGCUGUAUAAGAAAGAAAGAAUUUUUGGACACAAUGGAAUUUAUUACUUGCUAGUCAUCAAAACUGUGAAAAUUCAGGUAGCUCCCAGCCUCCGAUGUAUCUUAUACACCGCCGGGAGUACGUGCGUUUGACCGUGUAUGUGCGAUACACGAACUUCCCCCCUUCACUAGUAAACAAUACAAACCUGACAAAACAUAUUUCCGAAAUAACUAGAUAGCCAAAUCAAAUACUUCCUCUGCCUAAUCCACAACUUGAUUUUACAUCUACAUACCCUUUUCGCAACUACUUACAGUUAAAAAUUUUGAAGUUCCUGCAAGCUUCCUUUCUUUUGAGAUUUUCUAACCUUUAGAAUUCCACACGAGCCACAGAGUCGGCAGAGUAAUGGACAUCAAGUACCGAUGGAACCAGGACAUGAAGCUUGUCAGGCUCACCAAAUUCCUACAAGAUGUUGGACAAGAAUGAGUUUGCUCGUUAGAUAAUAAAAUUUGGCAUGAAUAUCUACUUUAUGCCUACUUUACGCCAAACUGAGAGCUAUAGUUCAACUCCAUCAUUUUAAAGAGUUUCGGCGACUGUUGAUUGUGGUCUAUAGCAUGAGAAGUACGUUGUUAUCUAAGGAUAACAAUACUCCAUUAAACAACCAAUACAUAACAGCUGUAAUAGCUCAUAGAUAAGGAAAAGCGACAUAAAAUGCCAUCUGAAUACAGUAUAUUACCAUAGGUGCGGUAGAAAUUUAGUGCUCGAGGCCUUUGAUCUUGUCAAGAUAGUACUGCAUUUUUUGAGUAUCUUGAGCCGAAAGAUUAGAUCCAACAACAAGCUUGUGCUGUUCAAAUUUUGAUUCAUCACACUUCAAUGCGGUUUCUUUACAAGCUUUGAUACUUCCUGAUACAAAAGAAAUGAAAGAAAUCAUUGGUAAUUAAUUUUCUUUAACAGAUGGGAAAGAAGACAAUUAUGUUGCGUCUUUGAGAUGACGGUAACUUCCGAUCAGCUGGAAAAAUGAACACUACGAGAUAAAAUGUGAUCUCUUAAGAAGUUCCAAACAAUGUUUACUAUAAGAAAUUCUGCUUACUUUUAAGGAAAUUGUGAUUACCAAUCACCACUAAAGGGGAAGCACUCUAAUUUCUUAAUCAAGAACAAUAACUAAAUUCAAGAGUCAAAAUGAUAACUUAAUUAUAAGGUAUUGUGCAUUUUCAAAAAAUAUCAGCAAGCCGCAAGACUUAAUCUGCUGCAAAUCUUUAACUCACCAAUUAGGUCCAACAAAUUAAAUAGAACCGGGCAAUCUGCAAUACUCCUGACCAUUGUAGUUGCAGCCCAUACUCGCUGAUAUUCAUCCCUUGAAGCUCUAACGAUACACAGCCUCGUAAUGUCAUUAACAUACUUGACUGCAUAAAAUUACACAUUCGGAGAAAUUUAGAGAGUCCAUUUUACAGAAAAUUAAUUGCAAAUGCACAUAAACAAAGAAGGUAACAAGAAUUACUGGGAGCCAUUACUUACCUUGGAAUGAUCCAAGUGACGAAGCCAGACCGCACUCCCCAAAAUUUACUAGAAUGCUGUCUCGGAUAGCUUUCAUAACAUUGUACGAGGUAAUGAUAACAGGAUCUUUUCUCACCAGUUCUCUAUUAGGAUCCAAGAUAACCUCCACUACCAUAUACCUAUUCUUAAAUCCCACCAUGAUACUCUACCUGCUUACAACAAAAAAUGGGACAUAUCAAAUCUAAUAAGAAUGUUAGACAACAAUAUCGUAUGAAAAGCUCAGCGGCUAGCUUAAAACUGUAUUUUGAAAUCUCAAUUCAACAGACAAGUAAGGGGGAGUAGUCAACUUGGAUUUCAGAAGAUUUUAAUGGACUUUUUGCAGGUGACAGAUAUCAAAGGAUUUUAAUGGACUCUACAAUUUUAUACAGCUUUUGGCAGAUUUAUACGGAUUUCUAUUAUAUAUUUUUAUGGAUCUGUAUAGACUUCUUUCAAGGAUUUAUUAAGAUUUCAUCGGUAAUAUUAAGGCCUUUCAUAACUCUAUCAAUCCCGAACUUAUGCGGAAGGAAAACAAGCACAUAUUCUCUAUCAUUCCUGAACUUCUACGGAAGGAAAACAAGCACACAUAUAUUAAGUUUUCAAACAGCAUCUCAAGACCACAUGACUUUUGUCAUGAUACACUUCUUAUACAGAAUAACCUGAAAACUUUGAAACAGCUCCAAGUAAUCGAACCGAGCCCAAGCAUACAGAAUCAAAUCUAUUGAAUCCUAAAGCUUACAUCUUUCUGUUGUUUUAAGCUCCCAAUCUCAAAACUGAAAAACUCAUAACCCAAUUCAGCAUUUUUUUUUAACUCAGCUCCCCAGGUUACUCAAAACCCCCAACAUCCCAUACUCCAAUCCCCUCCAUUUUCCCGCAGUUUCCUACAUUUUCUAGGCAACCAAACAGAGGUAAAACACCCAACUAAACAAAACAAAAAAAAAAAAAAAACCACAAAAGGUAGAGAAGUAAUAUACACAUAACAGAAAACCCGAAGCCCCCAAUCUAAUCCAGAAAACCCGUUUGUUUCCCGAGAAAGUUGCAGCCCCUCGGAACAGGGAUCGCAAUCCAGAUCUAAACUUGGAGUGAUUGGAUCUUGUCACGUAAGGAGAAUUGGGAAUGGGGAUUAGGGUUGUGGAGGUUGAAUUUGUGGCUGGUUUUUGGAUUGGGUGGAUAAUUUAUUGAAAAAGAAAGGAGCUUUAUCUGUCGUCUGUUCCUCGAGAACUCCCAAAUCGAGUCUGAAACUGAUAUCUGAGCGCGGGGAGGAGCAAGGGUGGCGAUUCCGAGA